AUGGUGGGGUAUGUCAAAGGGUCAUCAGGGCCAAUGAAAGAAUUCCUAAUGAUGAAAGGUAGAACAAUCUGAAUAACAAAAUAAAUAACACAGUGCUGAAUCAUAACCUAAAAUACAAAAUAAGUAUCCAUGAGUACAUGCUGAUGUAAAUAAGUGAUUGGAUAAAUCAAUAAAUUGGGGAGAAUAGACAAAUCUCUCAUGUAGAAUUCUACAUAAUUUAUGUAGGUGCUCAACACACAAGGAGUUGGCGCAUAAACUCCCUGCUCCCCCAAAUGUAUGCUGCUCAUGGUAACUUUCUUCCAAAGAGUGCAGUAUGUAUGGAAAGGGUAGGGGAAGAAACCUUACAGUGGAGAAAUCUAACAAAUACUACCUCAGCCAUGUGAUCAAAAUUAAUAUCAACAGAAAUAAGUCAAUCAUAAGUAUCCUUGAUAUGUGAUGAGAAUAGCACUUUACUGUUCUGGUCUUCCUCCAAACUCAUAAUCUCAUCAGACAAAUCCCAACUGAGGAACAUUCUACAAAGCAGCUGACUUCUCCAAAAUGUCAAGGUCAUCAAAACCAAGGAAAGUCUGAGAAACUGGCGCAAUCAAGAGAAGGAGCCCUAGGAAUCAUGACAACCAAAUGUAACGUGGUAUCCUGGAUGGAUUCUGGAACAGAAAAAGAAUACGAGACAAACGCAUAAUGCUUCAUUUGCUGGAUGACCAGGCAAUCCAUUUCCAAGAUCGACUUGUACACAAUGCUCCUGUUGGGCCAAUGUGCUGUGCACAGUGCUCCAAAGUCUCUAGGGGGUGAUGCUGAACAGCAAGAAACUACUUCUGAGGCAAGACAGCACAAAUCCUGAGGUGGUUACUCUUGGAAGAUGUGGCAAAAGAACCUGGAAGAGAAGCUACCUCCUGGUGAAGAGCUGCUGAUUCAGCUUCUGUUGAGAAGGUAUACACAACUUGGCUGUGGAAUGGAAAAUAACUCCAAUUUUUCUUUACCAAGAUGGUCAUGACAUAAAAGAAGUGCAUUAAUAAAGAUUCUUUGAUGACCUGGGAAAAUGCAUAUGACGCAGCACUUUCAUGGAGCUUCCAUACAAGAGGAAGACAGGCCAUCAAGAAAGAGAGACAGAGUGUGAGCAGAGGAGGGGCAGAGAGAGACAGAGACAGAAUCCAAAGCAGGCUCCAGGCUCCGUACUGUCAGCACAGAGCCUGACACGAGAUCUUGACCUGAACCCAAGUCAGACGCUUAAUCGACUGAGCCACCCAGGUGCCCCACAAUGACUGUACUUUAAAAUACUUCAGUUCAAAAAAAAAAAAAAAGGUUAAACAAGCACAAUAGA